CAAAGAAGAGCUUAGCGAGCUAGCAUCCAUGAUCUGUUCCUCUCCUUUGCUACCGUCACUCCUCAUCUCCUACACAUGGAUGACAUGUUACUUUUGCUUGCCUUUUCUUCUUUCAGCCCCUACCAGCUCCACACAGAAUGUGCCAGGUGGGUUAAUUAGUUUUGACCUUUGACUAUUGAAAGCUAAGGUUAAGCUCCACAAACCCAACACUCUCGCCGUUUUGAAACAUGGUCGGAUUAAUUUACGUAAUACAAGCAUAUAUUAUAUUUCUAUGUUGUUAACGAUUGCGAAAAAGUAGAAGCUCUGUGUCAUCGUCCAUCGGGUCAGCUAGCGAUCAUUCCAUCGUUCAACAUGACCGAUCGAUCAUUAGCAAGGAAUUACAUCGAUCUCUGUUUCUCUAAAAGACAUGUUGAAUUAGCAUUGCAUCUUUACUGAUGUGUUUCACAAAAGAUGGCUAAGACUGUUUGUUCCUCCUCCCCGGUUGCUCAAGAAAGUCAGAGCAGGAGGAACAAAUGUCCUAAACCAUCCCACGUGAGGUCCUUGUCUAUUCCAAAUCUCCCUCUAAGACCAUUUCAAAGCAACACUUAUUAAGAUUUCGCAAAAGGGAGAAAAUAAAUAAAUUCCAUUAAUGUUUUGUUCGAUUUCAUAAAUGACAAAUCUCAUCAAGGUCUUACUAUCAAUGUUCCAUCCCUGUUUCAAAAAAAAAAUGUGGUCUCAAUCCCAUCACGACUCUCGAGUGCGACAUGGAUUGCGAUCCACAGAGUUGUUUUUAGCAGCAUUUCCACAUCAAAUAAAGAUAGACAAAGAAAGAAGGAUAAAGAUAAUACCUGCGAGCCAGGUGGAUCACGCGGCCCCACAUGUCGGCCCCACGUGACACGCCGGCCUGCCUGAUGGCGCGUAGUAGUAGCUAUUUUCUGCAAAAGCAAAAGCGUGGAUUUUGGGCGGAGGGAUCGUCCGUCGUCCCCAAUAAUGCCGUGACAAGCAGCCAACGAACGCCUCUUUCCGAGAUCUCAUCCCCCACCUUGUCUCUUUCCCCUUCCUCCCCAGCGAAUCACAAUCGCCCCUUCUUGACCCCUUCCAAUUCCGAUCCCGUUUCGCGACAAGCCACCGCUUUCUUGGCUGGUUCUUCCGGAUUGGAGACAAAAAAGCCGCCGCCGCUGCUGCUCCUGCCAUUGCUGCUGCUUCCUGGCGUGAUUGGGACUAAAAGAGGCAACCAGGGCUCGAUUCGAGGCAAGCUUGUUUUCGGAUCCAGGGCGGGAAGGGACUGGAUUGGCGGUGUGUUGUCGGUCUUGUUGUUGUUGUUGUUGUUGUUGUUGCUGUUCUUGGCAUGAGCGUAGGGGAAGAUGGGGCUGGACUACUACAACGUGCUCAAGGUGAACCGGGGCGCCACGGAGGACGACCUCAAGAAGUCGUACCGGCGGCUGGCCAUGAAGUGGCACCCCGACAAGAACCCCGGCGACAACAAGGGAGAGGCCGAGGCCAAGUUCAAGAAGAUCUCCGAGGCCUACGAGGUAUAUAUCAUAUGGGCACUGUAUAAUUAAUUUGUUGCAGCUAAACCUGAAUGAUUUACAAUGCUAAUCCUUCUUGGAAAUGCGCCGUGCGAAAUAAAUUUAGCAGCAAAUGAUAGCAUCUGUUUCGUCGUGCGAUUCAGAAAAUGUUUCUGAUGAUGCAAAAUCGGAGGGAAUCCUCUUUUUUUCUUUUUGCAAUCAUGUCGUUUAUUGCACAUUGCGUUUCAGGUUAUGUCAACCUGGAUUUUUGCAGGCACACAAAAAAUGUUGUGCCUGCUUUCAAGGUUCAUAUGUAUAUGUUUAGACAGUUCAAGAAAUCUGUGAUUAGUUCUUUUGUUCUGAAGAAUGCUGCUCAAAUUGCUGAAUUUUGUGACCAAUGUCUAUUGCCUUUCAGGUUCUGAGUGAUCCUCAGAAGAGAGCGAUAUAUGAUCAGUACGGGGAGGAGGGCCUGAAGGCAUCUGCAGACAACGGUGGCUCGUCAUCGUCAUCGAUGAAUGGCACCGCUAACCACCGUUUUAAUCCCCGGAAUGCCGAGGAUGUGUUCGCUGAGUUCUUCGGUAGCAGCAAGCCUUUUGAGGGGAUGGGGCGUGCCAAGUCGAUGAGAUUCCAGACAGAAGGCGCUGGCACCUUUGGUGGGUUCGGUGGUGGUAAUGACAGCAAAUACAGAUCAUACAAUGAUUCCGCUGGCACCAGCUCUAGCCAGCCCCGGAAGCCACCAGCUGUGGAGACGAAGCUGUCCUGCACGCUUCAAGAGCUAUACUCUGGUUCAACGCGCAAGAUGAAGAUAUCUAGGAACGUGGUGAAGCCUAAUGGGUAAUCCCACUGUUUCCUGUGAAAUUCCUGCAAGAUUUCAAUGAAUCCCUGCUUUCCAAACUGGAAGUACAUUGAGAUGUCAAGAACAUGACGAUUGAUGCAUUGCCAUUUCGUUUCUGUCCCAAAAUGCAUUUUACUUACCUGCUGAUUUUUUAACAGGCAACUGGGGACUGAAUCCGAGAUUCUGACGAUCGAUAUAAAGCCCGGGUGGAAGAAAGGGACCAAGAUCACAUUCCCAGACAAGGGCAAUGAGCAGCCAAACCAGCUCCCUGCAGAUCUCAUCUUCGUCAUCGAUGAGAAACCCCAUGAUCAGUACACAAGGGAAGGCAACGACCUCCUGGUCUAUCAGAAGAUUGACCUGGUGGAUGCAUUGGCAGGAACCACGGUUAACCUGAAGACCCUUGACGGGCGUGAUCUGGUGAUAAAGCUGACAGACGUGGUGACACCAGGGUAUGAGCUUGCAAUCGCAAAGGAGGGGAUGCCUAUCGUCAAAGAGAACGGGAGGAGAGGAAAUCUGAGGAUCAGGUUCGACGUUGAUUUCCCAAAGAGGUUGUCAUCGGAGCAGCGGCAGAAUAUUAGGAAGGUUCUUGGAGGGCAACCUUAGCAGCAAUGAUCAAACCCCGGAUGCAAAUUCAGCUACCCUCUAGUUCUCCACGAAAUGCAGACUAAUUCAGAUGUUCUUCUUUUUCAGUUGGCUUGUAUGUCUAGUUACUUUUGGUUUGCAGGAAUUUCCUGAUUUGCUCCUUUGUUGACAAGAUAGCAAUAUUAAUUGUUGACUAGAUACAGAUUACAGUGUGACAUUGAAUUUUUUUUUUCACCUCUUCUAUUGCAUGUUUCAACAUUCAUUUGCAAAUAUAACAGAUUUCGAUCUCUUGCCUUUUGUGAAUUGUCAUGCUCUUUGAAGUAAAAAUAUUCUGAGUAAUGCCGAGCGCUCAAAUUUGAAAACAUUGCCAAAUUUGUUUUUGAUCAGUAGGAUGGCGGUUUAGUUCAUCAUCUUCCAACAAAUCUCUCCUAUUUCAAAUUCGACUUCAACCGAUAAAUAUGAAUCAAAUCACACCAGCAAAUCCAUACCCUUGAUAACCCAUACAAUUCAAAAGAAAAGUGUCAUGCCACGGUGGGGGAACUUUGGGUUAGACGGACCAACUUUUACAUAGAUUUAGGCUAAUUUGGAGAGACAAAUAGGCUAAGUACUUCAACAAAUGUUUUAAGGUGAAGGAGCAUCAAAUCUCUACUUAUAAGCAUUAACAUUGCGCAACUCAAAAAAAUACGUAUUGCAAUUAGAGACAAGUGGAUCCAGACAUGUUUCUGAAAUUUGGUUUGAACAUAAAUUUGAAACCUAUCAAACAUUUCUCACCCAGCACAGACCUUACCCACCUAUUCGUAAAUAGCAACGGCCUCGCUUGAAAAACGGGCCCCACCCUCUUCCUCCCUACAAAAAAAACGACACUUUUCGCGGUUCCCUUUCCAAGCCGUAAUUUUUUUCGCGCGCCCGCCGAAACCACCGCGUCCGGGAGCCGUCGGAUCGCGAAACGGACGGUGUUCGAUCGAUGAAGCAGGCGGAGGAGAACUCGGCGGCGGCCGCCGGCGCCGCCCAGGAGCCGCCAACGCCGACGCCGACGGUGUGGUACGACCCGAUGUCCCCGACGUCGUCUCCGACGGCGCCACGGCCGCCCGUCAGGGUUUACGCCGACGGCAUCUACGAUCUCUUCCACUUCGGCCAUGCCCGCGCGCUCGAGCAGGCCAAGAAAUCGUGAGCCCCGUUGGACCCUCUUCUCAAUCACGAUUUCCUUUCUUGUUUCUUUCUCUGAAAGCAUUGACAACAUUGUUUCUGAAUUUCUGACACCAAUUUCUGAAUCUCUGGCAUGGAUUUGUUGUCUUCGUCAGAUUCCCCAACACGUACUUGCUGGUGGGCUGCUGCAGCGACGAGGUGACCAACUGGUACAAAGGCAAGACCGUCAUGACCGAGGAGGAGCGCUACGAAUCGCUUCGCCAUUGCAAGCAAGCAACCUUCUGUUUUCUACUUUACCUCCUCCGUUUCUGAAUUUUACCUUUUGUUCUUAUUACUGUCCCAUUUCUGAAUCUUGUUGAAGAUGGGUGGACGAGGUCAUACCCGAUGCUCCAUGGGUCAUCGACGAGGAGUUCCUCGACAAGCACCGCAUCGACUACGUUGCUCACGACGCUCUCCCGUGAGUGUGUACAUACUAUAUUUAUGCAGCAUUGCAUAUUUCAAAUCAAUCUAUGUAUCUAAUAUAGAUGACAGGUGUUCGAGAAACAAAAAUCUAUGACUCUGUGUUUUGUUGAUCAGUUUGUGAAAAGUGUAAUUGACUCACUUCAUGUGAUUUGUUUUCAGGUAUGCAGACGCAAGUGGAGCUGCCAACGAUGUCUAUGAUUUUGUUAGAAUUGAAUAUCUGAAUCCCCUCCUCAUUUUUUUUUUGGACUAAGCAAUGCUGAUGGUCAGCUAACUGGAAAAUGUGUUGUUUGGGCAGGUCAAGUCCAUUGGCAAGUUCAAGGAGACGAAGCGCACCGAUGGCAUCUCAACAUCGGACAUCAUCAUGAGGAUUUUGAAGGAUUACAACCAGUACAUCAUGCGGAAUCUGACCCGGGGGUACUCCCGCAAAGACCUUGGUGUGAGCUAUGUCAAGGUGAUCAUCAGUUCCAGCAGUAACAUCUCCCAAAGCAAAGGAAGGACACCAAGCACUAAUGAAUUACGUGUUUUCUAUUACUGUAAUGUGAUCAGGAGAAGCAAUUGAGAGUGAACAUGGGGAUUAGCAAGCUAAAAGAGAAGGUGAAGGAGCAUCAAGAGAAGGUGAUCCAAGUUACUCUACAAACCCCAAAAAAAUUCGGCAUAGAUCUUCACAUGAUUUUGCAAAUGAUAGUGAUAGUAACUUGGUAACGCAUAUGCAGAUUCAUAGUGCAGCAAAGAUUGCUGGAAGCAAUCCUGUGGAAUGGAUGGAGAAUGCCGACCGUUGUAUCGUUGGGUUUCUUGAAAAGUUUGAGGAAGGUUGCCACAUGAUGGUAAGCAAGUCUUUGAUUAAUUUAAUUUAUCCGCAGUUGUCAAUACAGUAUUUGGUGAUUAUGGAUCGUGUUAUUUAUUUGACAGGAAACUGCAAUUAAAGAUCGAAUUCAGGAGGGGCUGAAGAGGAGAUCCAAAUCAGAGUCGGAGCUGAACCUUUCUGGAUCGGACUCGGACUCAUAAAGAUGUUUGUGGGAAUCAGAUUCCUGCAGUAAAUGUAUAGUAUUAGAUUAGCAUGUUGUUAUAGCCUUGUAAGACAUCAAACUGCAACGGUGGUUUAUAAUAGGAGGUUAUGUACCAUUGAGAACAAUAAUUUUUUGCGGUGACCGAUCAGUCUCUGUUUCUUAAAGAUUGCUCAUUUGCAUUUUGCCUCCUAAAUGACAUUAUUCCUCUGAGAAACUUGGAUUUGCAGUACAUGAUCUCAUUCUUGUGAUUAUGUUUGUCAAUGGCCAUGUGUUAUUUUUAUUUAUUUCUUUUCGAGGAACCGGCAGGAUAGAAGUUAUUUACAGUGCUGCCUUUUCAUUAAGAAUGAUAGAAGUUAUUUACAGUGAGGAGCAGGUUUUUUGAGGGGAAAUGCCGAGGAAACCCCAACGAGAACAAGAAAAAACUAGUCGGGCUGUAGCACUGUGUGAUGUCCUCGAAGCUCGCAGGCAAGAUGAGUGACUUCGACCUAAUUGAGAAGCUUAAGAGUGAAAAUGCGACAGUUCGCUCCUUCCUGGCUUUCCACCAGACGUAGAUAAGUCAACCACUUUGCUUCCUCUUAAUGUCCUUGCCAGAAAGGAAAAGGGAGGCGUCCCACCACUCCUCUGAUUGCUUCUCCUGAAUAAGAUCAUGUGUAAUUUUAUUGGCCAUGUGCUAUUGCCACCAACUAAAUAUCAUUCAUAUACUUCUCCCUUUUCUUUCAGCUACCAUGAUAUAGUUUUCAGGGUAGUAUUGGUUAUACACUUAUACAUGAAGAUGCAAUUGGUAGCGGUUCGUCAGAUUUAGAUAAGCUGGAGCUAGCCUAUUUGCAGAACCCAAUGUUACAAUAAUGUAUUUUUAGCAACCAAGAACUAAAUUUAACACAUGCACAUGGAGAAUUCUGUUGAUUCAGAAACACCUAACGAAAAUAAUAUUUGUUAUCCUGAGUCAUACUCCUAGUAUACCAUCAAAACAAUUUCCCCUCUACAUACGAAUACUAGAAACGGAAGCUAGCUAUUUUCUAAUCUUGCCACCAACAAUUCGGUCCUGAUACUACAGUAUCACAUAAAACUUUGAUCAUCAUACAACACAACUCAAGAAAUUAAGCAGAAACAGUUCAUUGUCAUUCACCCUGGACUUCCUGUUUUACAUAAUGAUUUGAUUAUUUGGGAAACUGUUGUCUUCAAUGAUUUCACUGUCUCAUUGUCAGUUCUUCACCUAUGCCCUCUGAAAUACAUGUAUACUCCCUGCAAAACAGUAGAUUUGGAAGGAUGUCAUGAAACCACAGAAACUGUAGGAUGUCAUGUAUGUUCACUAAUUGCGCAUGUAAUAAUAUGGUAAAGGCACAACAAAAGCUGAUCAUUUCUGGUAGUCGAGGAGCCAUACUAGAAAGCAAGGAAACAACAAAAGUUUCUAGGCAUAUUCUUUUUUAGUUCCUCUCAAAAAAAUUGUUUUUCUUUGUUGAGCUUGCAACCAAGUGAACUUAUAAGAGUGAUAGUACAAACAAAGAGAAGAUGUUCCAUGAAAACAACAAUGUGAAAGAAAUGAAAGGUGGAACCGACAAUAACCUCAAGAACCCAAAUACUCAUAAGCGAUUCCGCAGUAAAUAAUAUGAAUCCAAUUAGAUACAGUACCUGCAUUACUCCAAAAAGGACACAAUUAAGGACUCACGGCAAGUUUUAGUGCUGAAGUAAAAUAUGUUCAAAGUUAACCAUAAUAGCGCAGAAGAACUAACCCCGACGAACAUAUCUCCGCUUAAAACAUCGAUAGCAACAAGAAUUCCCCUGAUUUCAGGUAAAGAACUGUAUCGAACUAUUGCAGUUGGAAACUUUGGCAAAAUGAAAAAUGCUUGACUUACGUAAGAGUUUUUCCCAUGAAUAUUAUUGGAGGAGCAAUUGCAGCAAUGACACAAAAUCCAACAUGCACCUGGCACAUAUCAAGCCAUCACUAUGCUCACCAGUGCAUUACCAUAGGAUCAAACAUAAAGAUAGAAAAAUGCAAUAGGGUUAUCUUUUUAGUUGAAGGUUAUUAGCAUGUGGAACUCAGCUCGGUGUAUAAAUAGAAGUACCGAGUAGAAGAUGAAAAACUGGCCAAAGGUCACCACGCUAUCGGUUCUGGUGUACAAAGGUAAGAUAAUUUUGUUACCAUAUUGGCAUUCUCAUAGAGCAUUUCCAGAUAAUGGUAAUUUACUUGGAAUUUUAAUUGAAAAGAAACCUCAUGGCCUGGUACAGAGGCCUGUACCAUAGUAUGUAUGAAAGAGGACAUCCAAAUAUUGCAUAGAUGACGGCAAGGAGAAAAAGAACAAUAUCUGCCAUAAAAAGGAGACAUGAUGUAAAAUAUGCAUGCUUAAGAAAAUGGUUUAUCUGGCAAGAUAUUUAGCACCUUCCAUGUGAAUUGAUUCGACUAAAACUGCAAAGACAUUCCAACUGAGACAGACAACAAUUCCUGCAAGAAGAGCAGCCGAUGAACAGGAGCUGAACUGAUGAUACUUCGUUCUUAUCUAUGUUGAAAACUAUCAGCAAUAAUCUCAAUUAAUAGGAGAAAACUGAUGUAAGGGUAAAAACCUAGCCAACUAGCAAAUGCUGAGUACUGCAACUUUUGAGCAUGGAUGGGUAUUUCAUUGGCUAUAUCAUGAUGUAUGAUGGGGAAGAACGGUGGCCAAUUUUUCACUUCGACCAUGACACCGGCUGCACAACCAGAUGUAUAUUUCAGAAUUCAGACAAAACGUGAAAGCAUGAUGGAUUUAUCUUAUGAUGCUCUCUUAGGACUACCUCUGUUCAUUGUAUUCUCCCUUUGUAUGAUAUCCUGCAACAAAAGUCACACUUCUGAUUCUGAAAACUCUUUGAGGACUCACUUUCAUAAAUUUGUUGACUAGAAAGACAAUAAUUAUUGGACAUAUGAAGCAACCCAAAUGAACAUAUGACACUCUAAGAUUACGAAAUAAUUGUGGAAGUGAAUCUAUAGGAUUUCUAAUUAAGUGAAAAGGAGAACGGACCCGCUCUCUCCUCUUCAAAUCCUCCUCCCACGAUAAGAGCUCUUUCUCCCGCUUCCUCGGAUCCUACAUGAAUUAGGAUUAUCAUUAGGUGUACCAAGAACACAAUAUUAUCUUGUGUAUGAACAAUGUAUACAUAUAGUGGGAUGUCGAUGGUGGCGCCAUGGUUAAUGCUGCCUCCAAAGCCCGCCGGGAUCCAGGAUUUCUUCGAUGGAGCUGGUGCCAAUGCCUGUCCAUUAUGAAAUACAAACGAUAUGUCCCAAGAAAAUAACAAUCAACUGUCAUCAUGAUUCUUCACAAAAAAUGACACUGAAAUAACACCCCGCUUAAACUCAGGCUGCAUACUGAACUACAUGAGAGUUGGAUUGUUCUAUUAGUAUGCAUAGAAAAUGAUCAGAUCAGAUAAGUCCAAUGGAAAAUCAAGAUAUAAAAGUUGAAUAAUUUGAUCUAAUCUCAAUAAAUCUAUCCAAAGAAACCUCGCAAGCAGACCAGAAUGCAAAACGAUUCAGAGCAUUUUGUUCUUCUAAGAAAUUCAAUCCAGACAGUCUCGAUACAGAGAUCAUCAGAACGCAUGGGUCUUUUUUUUAACCAAAGUUAAUCUGGACAUGAGAAACAAUGCUCCAAAGAGAAAUGUCUCAUCAAAAGACAAAUAAUUUGAACCCCAAAUAAGAAGAAGAAACAUGUAAAGUCUGGAAUACCGCUGUAGGAUUGACAUUUUCGUCUUCAAACGGAUUUGUGUUACGAGACAUCAUUAGGAAGAUCCCUCGGCAUGAAUAAAUCCCUGUGUUGUCUACCUUUGGGAUGAGCCGAAAUCUGUGCUGCAAUAAAUCUGUGCAUGGCCAACGAAAGGAAGUUAGUUAUUUUCAGUUAAUGCUGGCCGUCUAGCGCUUUGGUCCUUAUUGGUUGUUACAUUCCAAUACCAUCAGCCCCUCGUUUUAUUACGUUUUACCUUUUUUAUCCCUUCUUCCUCUCAUUUUGGAAAGUGUAGGAAUUCUUACAGAACUGUUGAUUCGUAAUCUCACAGAAUUCACGAAAAAUCCUGGGUUGUUAGUUUUGUCUUUUAAGCAGUUUAGUACAUGCACGUUAUAGACUGUAAGAAAUCAGAACAGAAAGAAACACAGUAGGCCUGCGAAGUGGAAUUUGAUGGAGCUGAAGAGACAGAAUCAAUUUCAUGCCCCGUUAAACAUAACAACUGCAUCCAGUAUCCACAUUGCAGUGAGCUCGAUACAGAAAAUGCAUUGAUUCAGAAAUGAGACAAAUGCCGUCUAUAGAAGAUCAAUCUGAAGUUAACGCGGCGUUAUUAUGCCAUACACAGUAGGAGGAAUUUUCACAGAUAACACUUUGCUAUCAAGCGUAAUACACAAUACACUGGCAGACAUUGUAAACCAAAUAAGGAGGCAACAAAUCCAAAUUUCUGCAGUAUCUUCUCUAUUUAGUGAUGGUGGUCUUGAACAUAGCGAAGACCACAGUAUUUGCACACAGCAGGGGCCUCCAGAUCAAGGCAGAUAUACUCGAUUGGAUGGCCAAGGGCAGGGUUACUAUCUGUAUAUAUAAUCCAAAUGGAAACAGUCAGCCUUGCAGAAAAUGAAUGCCCAUGACUCCAUGGGUGAGUAUAUUAAUAUAUGUAGCAAGCGAAAAAGGGACCGAAGCACGGUAAUGAGAAUUUGUAAAAAAAAAAAAAAAAAAGCAGGCUAGAGUUUGCUUUCGCCUACCCCCUUCACAAGCGACAAUUCGCCCUUCAACCUUGAUCGGCGGCACCUCAUUGAUCAGUUCCAUCGGAGAUUUCUUGCUUGUGUCCUGCGAUAAAUAAAAUCAGAGAGGAUCAAAAAUUAUAAACACUCCUUUCAAAAGAAAAAUUAUAAACACUGGCAAUAUAAUGAGUGACAAAAAAUAUCACUGUCUUCAACCAAUAAAGCUCACAAAUUAGGUAGUUGUGCAACUUAAGUUGUGAAUAUCACACGACAAACUCAUGCCAACUACCUGGUAUAUUGGUAUAAGUACAAAUUCUGCUAUCUUUGAGGAUAUGGGAAUCCCAAAGCUAAGAAUUGACUUUCAGGCAUCACUUUUUGACAGCGCAAGGAAUAUUGGUCUUUACUCAGUUCAACAAUUGACCUCUCAUAUAUUAUUGCUGCAGUAGCCACUUGCUAUAGUAGUUCCCAGAAAAGCCUCAAAAUGAUACACGUCGUUUAAGUUUUACUCAGUGAAUAGGCGAAAACCAAAAUCGAUACUGUCCAAGUAUGGUAGGAUGGUGUUGGACUACUGGGCUGCUGGCUGUGACAUUAUUGUAACAGAAAUACAAUUGGAAGAUUAUUCAGAUACAUCAUAAGCUCUUGCAUACAUUCUUAUCUGUAACCUAUGACAUGAAAUGAGGAGAAAACGGUUUCACUUGAUCAACAAGGUCGAUAUAACAAAUUGUUAGAAGGGAGGUCCAGCCAUAAGUCGGUAAAACAUCUGUAACCUAUGACAUGAAGAAAUGAAGUAAUACAAAAAGGAAAAGAAAGAGAAAACAAAAAUCAUGAUCAACUAAGCCCUCUCGAGGGCUUGCUUAAGAAUAAGAAAGAAGAAUCUUAUGGAAAUGGAAUAAGGUUUGAUCCUAUUCAUGGGGAUUCCGUAAAUAUGCCAUUCCAAAAAUAGAAACAAUCGGGACUUUUCGGAGAUUGGAUGCAGUUACUAAUUCAUGAUCUGGCAUGUACAGAAUGAAAACUUCAUUCUCGAUUCUACGAGAAUUUUUAUGAAAGCGCUUCAUUUGCUUCUCUUCCAUGGAAGUUUCAUUUUCCCAGAAUGUAUCCUAAUUUUUGGCCUAAUUCUUCUUCUGAUGAUCGAUUCAACCUCUGAUCAAAAAGAUAGACCUUGGUUCUAUUUCAUCUCUUCAACAAGUUUAGUAAUAAGCAUAACGGCCCUAUUGUUCCGAUGGAGAGAAGAACCUAUAAUUAGCUUUUCGGGAAAUUUCCAAACGAACAAUUUCAACGAAAUCUUUCAAUUUCUCAUUUUAUUAUGUUCAACUUUAUGUAUUCCUCUAUCCGUAGAGUACAUUGAAUGUACAGAAAUGGCUAUAACAGAGUUUCUGUUAUUCGUAUGUAUAUUUAAAACAAUCUACUAAUGGUCUGCUGACUGCCAAGCUUCAGCAAAGAUAUAGAAACAAACUUAAAAGACACACAAUGCAUCAAGAUAUAAUGUGUCAAAAAAACAACAGAAUGAGUGCAUGUUACGGGACAUGCAAGGAUUACACAUCUCAUCAAGGAUAAUCGAAGAAACUACAAACCAGCUGUGCCUUCCUUCACUG
rnacentral:lncRNA from 1 species